GCUUCCCAACUAGUACUUCGUAUAUGCCUAGUGUGCUCCCAUGUGUAAAAGUUGGAUGCAAAGAGUGCCUGUUCCUUAUGCUGUUGUUCCUCCACUUGACAAUACCAUUAGAAAUAAGCCAAACUCCAUUUGGCUUGGAGCCCUCUUUGUAAAGCAGCGCACCACGUGGUUUCAUUGUUCCUUUGGUGGAACCUUCAAGUGGUUCACGUACUGUAGGAGGAAGGGCCCCUAACAAAGGAUGGAUGCUAAUCAGAUCAGUUAUUUUGGGAAUCUUUACUAAAGGAGGAUUCCUUAGAAGCCUUUUCAAGUCAGUCUGGACAGCAUCAUGAAGAU
rnacentral:misc_RNA from 1 species